CCUACGGGGGGCAGCAGUGGGGAAUAUUGCGCAAUGGGCGAAAGCCUGACGCAGCGACGCCGCGUGAGGGAUGAAGGUCUUCGGAUCGUAAACCUCUGUCAGCAGGGAAGAACGGUCACUGUGCUAAUCAGCAGUGAAUUGACGGUACCUGCAAACGAAGCACCGGCUAACUCCGUGCCAGCAGCCGCGGUAAUACGGAGGGUGCGAGCGUUAAUCGGAAUUACUGGGCGUAAAGCGCUCGUAGGCGGUAUGUCAAGUCAAGGGUGAAAUCCCCGCGCUCAACGUGGGAACUGCCUUUGAAACUGGCAAACUGGAGUGUGUGAGAGGAUAGUGGAAUUCCAGGUGUAGGAGUGAAAUGCGUAGAUAUCUGGAGGAACAUCAGUGGCGAAGGCGACUAUCUGGCACAUAACUGACGCUGAGGAGCGAAAGCGUGGGUAGCAAACAGGAUUAGAUACCCCAGUAGUC
rnacentral:rRNA from 1 species